GUUGAGGAAGAAAUUGAUCACAAAGGUUUAAGAUUGUUUGUGUAUUAUAAUAAUUGUGUUACUGGAUGCUGAUGGAUCCCUAUUCCCCCCCCCCCCCCAUCAGUCCUACAGAUCUCGUCACCCUCAUCCUCUCUCUGCAGCUCCCUGCACCUCCAGUCCGUUUCUCCCGUCAAAGAUUUCUGGUUUCCAAACGUAUAAGUCUCUGUCCUUCUGUCUUGUUACUUUACAGCACUCACAUGGUUAAUCUUCAUGCCUGCAGUCUCUC